rnacentral:rRNA from 1 species
UACAGAGGAUGCAAGCGUUAUCCGGAAUGAUUGGGCGUAAAGCGUCUGUAGGUGGCUUUUUAAGUCCGCCGUCAAAUCCCAGGGCUCAACUCUGGACAGGCGGUGGAAACUACCAAGCUGGAGUACGGUAGGGGCAGAGGGAAUUUCCGGUGGAGCGGUGAAAUGCGUAGAGAUCGGAAAGAACACCAACGGCGAAGGCAGUGUCCUGGGGGGUACCUGACGCUCAGGUGCGAAAGCCAGGGGAGCGAACGGG